CCUACGGGUGGCAGCAGUGAGGAAUAUUGGUCAAUGGCCGGAAGGCUGAACCAGCCAAGCCGCGUGAAGGACGAAGGUGCCAAGCAUUGUAAACUUCUUUUGUCAAGGGACAAAAUCAGGCUCGAGAGCCUGACCGAGGGUACUUGAAGAAAAAGCAUCGGCUAACUCCGUGCCAGCAGCCGCGGUAAUACGGAGGAUGCGAGCGUUAUCCGGAUUUAUGGGGGUACAAGGGUGCGUAGGCGGGCUGUUAAGUCAGCGGUAAAAGCCCGGGGCUCAACCCCGGCGAGCCGUUGAAACUGGCUGUCUUGAGAUGUCGAGAGGUAUGCGGAAUGCGCAGUGUAGCGGUGAAAUGCUUAGAUAUUGAGCAGAACUCUGAUUGCGAAGGCAGCAUACCGGCGGCGAUCUGACGCUGAGGCACGAAGGCGUGGGUAUCGAAAAGGAUUAGAUACCCGAGUAGUC
rnacentral:rRNA from 1 species